CUUAACACAUGCAAGUCGAACGGUAGCAGGAGAAGCUUGCUUUCUUGCUGACGAGUGGCGGACGGGUGAGUAAUGCUUGGGAAUCUGGCUUAUGGAGGGGGAUAACGACGGGAAACUGUCGCUAAUACCSCGUAUUAUCGGAAGAUGAAAGUGCGGGACUGAGAGGCCSCAUGCCAUARGAUGAGCCCAAGUGGGAUUAGGUAGUUGGUGGGGUAAAGGCCUACCAAGCCUGCGAUCUCUAGCUGGUCUGAGAGGAUGRCCMGCCAMACUGGAACUGAGACACGGUCCARACUCCUACGGGAGGCAGCAGUGGGGAAUAUUGCGCAAUGGGGGGAACCCUGACGCAGCCMUGCCGCGUGAAUGAAGAAGGCCUUAGGGUUGUAAAGUUCUUUCGGUAUUGAGGAAGGUUGAUGUGUUAAUAGCACAUCAAAUUGACGUUAAAUACAGAAGAAGCACCGGCUAACUCCGUGCCAGCAGCCGCGGUAAUACGGAGGGUGCSAGCGUUAAUCGGAAUAACUGGGCGUAAAGGGCAMGCAGGCSGUUAUUUAAGUGAGGUGUGAAAGCCCCGGGCUUAACCUNGGAAUUGCAUUUCAGACUGGGUAACUAGAGUACUUUAGGGAGGGGUAGAAUUCCACGUGUAGCGGUGAAAUGCGUAGAGAUGUGGAGGAAUACCGAAGGCGAAGGCAGCCCCUUGGGAAUGUACUGACGCUCAUGUGC
rnacentral:rRNA from 1 species